CGGGGCGUGGCCCAGUUUGGUAGGGCGCUUGGUUCGGGACCAAGAGGCCGUGGGUUCGAAUCCCGUCGCCCCGA
rnacentral:tRNA from 1 species